rnacentral:lncRNA from 1 species
CUAGAGGCUCCUAAAUUAAUUUGAGAGAGGGCCUUAUAAUGAUGCUACAGACUAAUUUAAUGAAGAUCCAUCAAGCCUUCAUGAAAAGAAGUCCUUUACAGAUUUCUAUUUUUAGCUCAAGCAUCCCCUCUAGACAAACAUUGGAGAGGACCUUAUAAUAAUGCUACAGACAAAAGUUUGAUGAAGAUCUGUGAAGCAGUUCAUGAGAAGUUGUUUAAUGGUAUUUCUAUUUUUAGCUAUAGCUGUCUUAUGAAAGGGGGCCCUGUGUGCCCAAUGAAACAAAUUUGGAGUUGACCCUAAAUGAUGCUACAUACCAAGUUUGAUGAAAAUACAUAUACAUCAAGUGGUUCAAGAGAAGUAUUAAAAGGUUUUUCUAUUUUCAGCUCUAGCUCUAGCAGCCCCUUAAAUUGGCCUCAUUUGAAUGAACUUGAAAAAGGACCUUGCCACGAUGCUACAGAUGAAGUUUGGUGUAAUUCUGAUCAGUUUGAUGUACAUGUCCCUGAGCAGAUGAUAUGUCUUAUCAAAUGUAAAUUAACAUCUGACCUUGACCUGAAACUCUAUGGAGCAAGUUUGGCGAGGAAGCAUUUCAACACAACUGGGACAAGGAUACUGUAGUUCACGUUUGAUGUACAUCCUUUAAGGAGUUUAUGAAACUUGAGUGUUCAUGAUGAGUGUUCACAAAGUUGAUCUAUGAA